rnacentral:rRNA from 1 species
AGAACGAACGCUGGCGGCAUGCCUAACACAUGCAAGUCGAACGAGACCUUCGGGUCUAGUGGCGCACGGGUGCGUAACGCGUGGGAAUCUGCCCUUGGGUUCGGGAUAACAGUUGGAAACGACUGCUAAUACCGGAUGAUGACUUCGGUCCAAAGAUUUAUUGCCCAGGGAUGAGCCCGCGUAGGAUUAGCUAGUUGGUGAGGUAAAGGCUCACCAAGGCGACGAUCCUUAGCUGGUCUGAGAGGAUGAUCAGCCACACUGGGACUGAGACACGGCCCAGACUCCUACGGGAGGCAGCAGUGGGGAAUAUGGACAAUGGGCGAAAGCCUGAUCCAGCAAUGCGCGUGAGUGAUGAAGGCCUUAAGGUUGUAAAGCUCUUUUACCGGGAAGAUAAAUGACUGUACCGGAGAAUAAGCCCCGGCUAACUCCGCGCCAAGCAGCCGC